rnacentral:misc_RNA from 1 species
GUUAACUAAAAAUGCUCUCUGGACAUUUGGGAGCACGCCUUUCCAAAGUCCCCUGACGCCUUCAGUCUGAAUAAUCUUGUUGAAGGCAUCAAAUGGCCCGCAAUAUCGAGGUUGUAGACCCUGGCUUGCUAUUCUACUGUCUGCUUGCAUCCUAAUUUUGACAAGAUCAGCUGGGCUUGCCACAACCUGAGCAAUAACUCCAGAUAUUCCACCAAUAAUAGCUUUGCUUGACAGAGAAAGUGUAUGAUCAGCAGGAACCAAAAAAUUCCUCAAAAACUCAUAGUUUACGAUUCGAAUUGGAGUGUAAAACAUAUGCCUUAUAA